AUAAUCCUAUAUAUUUACAAACAAUAAGUUUGUUGCGUACCUAGAAAUUGCUAACAUUAUUUCAUAUUUCCAGAUGUCCAGCCACUUGAAAAUAGGUGUAGUAAUGAUAAAGCUAUCCAAGUAGCUCCAGCACAGGAACACAAAGGCAAGGCAAGUGUGUAUUGCCACAUCACCCCUUAAUAUAUCUGAAGCAAGUACAAGUAAACAAUCAGAACCAGCAAAAAGAAAACUGUUGUUCCUGAGGACAAAUUUGACAGUGAUGAGUCGAAUGCACCAGCAACAGAAGGAUCAACUGUUGACUAUGAGUUAUCUCUCUAUAUCUCCACUCCAUCAAAGACUUGUGCACUUCAGACUAUAGCUCUCAAGAAGACUACAAAAGUUGAAAAAAUGAAUGUGUUAACAACUUUAUCUAAAGUGAAAAAUAAACCACGUUUAUAUAUUGGUCUUCCACAAGAAUUAUAUUUCAUAAUAGGCUUGAUUGAGAAACAUACAAAUGUUUCUGAACAAAAUAUUAUAUUAUGUUUGAUGAGAAUAAAAUUAAAUAGAACAUUCUCUCAA